AAAAAAGAAAAAGAAAACAAGGGGUCUGUUGAAUUUCAAGUAUUCAGUUUCACCAAUAAGAUACCGAGACUUGCUUCACAUUUGGAAUCACACAAAAAAGAUACUUCAUCGCGGAAAGAGGUCUAG
rnacentral:rRNA from 1 species